rnacentral:rRNA from 1 species
UACGAAGGGGGCUAGCGUUGUUCGGAAUCACUGGGCGUAAAGGGCGCGUAGGCGGCUUUAUAAGUCGGGGGUGAAAGCCUGUGGCUCAACCACAGAAUUGCCUUCGAUACUGUGGAGCUUGAGACCGGAAGAGGUAAGUGGAACUGCGAGUGUAGAGGUGAAAUUCGUAGAUAUUCGCAAGAACACCAGUGGCGAAGGCGGCUUACUGGUCCGGUUCUGACGCUGAGGCGCGAAAGCGUGGGGAGCAAACAGG